UACGAGGGGGCAAAUGUUGUUCGGAAUCACUGGGCGUAAAGGGAGCGUAGGCGGGUUUCUAAGUCAGGUGUUUAAUCCCGGGGCCCAACCCGGACAGGCACUUGAAACUGGGAAUCUUGAAUAGUGGAGAGGUCAGUGGAAUUGGGGGUGUAGCGGUGGAAUGCGUAGAGAUCCCCAAGACACCAGUUGCGAAGGCGGCUGACUGGACACAUAUUGACGCUGAGGCUCGAAAGCAUGGGGAGCAAACAGGG
rnacentral:rRNA from 1 species